rnacentral:piRNA from 1 species
UGCAUGUGAAGCCAGAAAGGCUGGACAUU